CGUUUUCGCACAAUACUCAUAUCAGAGUUAUAACUUAUAGCAGACUUGAUUUAUAAUAAUUUACAAUAGUUUUACUAAAACCCCGUACGUGAGCACAUUACAAGUCAAUAGCUAUAGUGGUAAACCCGAUAUGAUAGAUAAACCACUAAUCGAUAACAAUAACAUUAAUGGCUCGAUUUUUGAUAACACAUGAUAAUGAUAAUAUGUUAUAAUUUAAUGUUAAACUUCAAGUUAUCUACGAAAAACUCGUGUUAAACACGAUUAUAAAGCAUAACGAAAAACGAAUAGCCGAAUAAUGAAUAAUAAAUCUAGAAUGAUAAAUAACGGGUGUGUAAUGGUACAAAUUAAAAUCACGAAUACAGAAUAAAAGAGACUAAUCAAAUGAAAAACAAACGAAUAGCGAAUAUUUUUUCAUUAGAAUAAUGGCCGACACCGCGACAGAGGUCUGCAAUUUACAGACACAGAAGCGAAUGAACCGGUCUGUGUGCACCGCCAUUUUGGAAAUUCAACUCCUGGGCGGCUGACUCGGAAUUUUCGCGGGAAUCCAAUCGGUUUUGUUGUUUUAUGGGUUACCUUGGCGACACCGAAGAAUUAAAAAAAAAACAGUUAUUACUUAGUACAACAGGAAAACACGAGUGAACACGAGUCGAAUCACGGAGAGACUAUGUAUGUUUUUUUUUCGUAAAAUAUUAUUAUAACGUGACGAUAUACGCCGUAAAGUUAAUUUUUUUUUUUUUUUUUCGUUAACACAAGUUGCGUGUUUCGAGGGUACCCGGAACGUAUGGCUGUCCAAAUAUCGUCGAUAAAAAGACGGCGGAAAUACACGAUAAUUCUAAGUGUAGCCAAGGAUCCCGACCGGUACUGCGAUUUCGGUUUUCGAUUUUGUCUACAAACUAUUAUCGGGUGUACCUUAUACGGC